UUGGAAUCCUGGUAUACUCUUGCUUUCAUUUCAUUCCAAAUCUGAAUACGUUUGUGAGAGAUUGUUGCUUGCAUCGUAUUGACUCGUAAAGGCACAUGUACGUUUUGUUGUUCCGCGUGUGCUUCCGAUAUAUGCUAUUUAUUGUUCAUACUGCCCUUUUGUACUCUGGUGUUGUGGGAUAAUGUGAACCUUUGCCAGAAAUGGUAAAGGGAGUUAUGC
rnacentral:lncRNA from 1 species